AAUGGGGGCAACCCUGAUCCAGCCAUGCCGCGUGAGUGAAGAAGGCCUUCGGGUUGUAAAGCUCUUUCGGCCGGGAAGAAAUCGCAUGGGCCAAUACCCUGUGUGGAUGACGGUACCGGAAUAAGAAGCACCGGCUAACUACGUGCCAGCAGCCGCGGUAAUACGUAGGGUGCGAGCGUUAAUCGGAAUUACUGGGCGUAAAGCGUGCGCAGGCGGUUUUGUAAGACUGGCGUGAAAUCCCCGGGCUCAACCGGGGAACGGCGUUUGUGACUGGGAGGCUAGAGUACGGCAGAGGGGGGUGGAAUUCCACGUGUAGCAGUGAAAUGCGUAGAGAUGUGGAGGAACACCAAUGGCGAAGGCAGCUCCCUGGGUCGAUACUGACGCUCAUGCACGAAAGCGUGGGUAGCAAA
rnacentral:rRNA from 1 species